rnacentral:rRNA from 1 species
UACGAAGGGGGCUAGCGUUGCUCGGAAUGACUGGGCGUAAAGGGCGCGUAGGCGGAUGGCACAGUCAGAUGUGAAAUUCCCGGGCUUAACCUGGGGGCUGCAUUUGAUACGUGUGAUCUAGAGUGAGGAAGAGGGUCGUGGAAUUCCCAGUGUAGAGGUGAAAUUCGUAGAUAUUGGGAAGAACACCGGUGGCGAAGGCGGCGACCAGGUCCUUGACUGACGCUGAGGCGCGAAAGCGUGGGGAGCAAACAGG